rnacentral:misc_RNA from 1 species
AAGUCGUAACAAGGUUUCCGUAGGUGAACCUGCGGAAGGAUCAUUAACACUUUUUUCAAUGAAAGAGCUCAUUUUUUGAUUCUUUGUUUUUUCUUUUGAGAAACUUGGAUUCAAAUAAUGGGUAUUCACCCCCUUAUAUUGACGAACGAAGAAAAACAUUGAUUUUGUUUCAAAAGCAAAACUCAUAUUUUUCUAUCUUUUUUCUCUAUACCUUAUAUUUUUCAAACCCCCUUUUUUUACAAUAUGUCUUAGACUGAAAUGAAAAAUUAAGAUAAAUUAAAAAACAACUCUUAACAACGGAUAUCUUGGUUCUC